CUGGCUCCCUGUGGAGUAUCUUUACUCUGUGCUAUCUGUAACAUUUUUUUGGUGGUUUUUUUUUUUUUUUUUCAGUGAAGGCAACGUGGUUAUUCUUGAGAAAUACCUCAUUGCCCUGGCCUUGUGCCUAAAUGCCUUUGAGGAACCGGGCCUUCUGCACGUGCAGAGGGAGCUUCUGUAAUAAGGAGUCACCAGGAGCCCUCGCCAGUCUGCGGUGUUCUGUUCUGAUUUAGAGGCACCUAAAGAGGUAAUGAGGGUAAUGCAAGAGAGCCAACGUGGUUAAACUUACUAAGGAAAGAAAAACCCCAAAAAGCCAAAUAAACAUGCAUGGAACAUCAUUUCCCAUAUUCAAAACAGAUUCCUCUAUCACUGUGAAUUCCAUCAUGCACAGCAGACAGCUGUGGCAAGGAUUUUCUGCACCAAGCAGGCUUGUCCCAGGGCAGUUGAGCUUGCCCAUGAGAGGAACAGCCUCCUGGUUUUUCCUUGCGAUGCAUGGGACACCUGGCUGAGCAUCCUCCUGGCUGAGGAAUUCCUGGCAUCCCCCAAAAUUGUUCCUCUGAAGUCCUUGAGGGCUGGGAACCUGUCAGAGCAGCCCUGUUCUUCAGAGCUUGGCAGAGACCAAACGGCCUUAUGAGACACAGCUGUCCUCCCAGCGAGCUCCUCCCUGGAUGAUAAAGGGAACCUGGUGCCUCCUUCCCUUCUCACUCUGUGUCUGCUGCCUUCAGCUGCUCCUGAAGGAGCCAGGUAGGGAAGAGCUGCCUGGGUGGUGGUGGGUGUCCCUG
rnacentral:lncRNA from 1 species